UACGAAGGGGGCUAGCGUUGUUCGGAAUCACUGGGCGUAAAGGGCGCGUAGGCGGCCGAUUAAGUCGGGGGUGAAAGCCUGUGGCUCAACCACAGAAUUGCCUUCGAUACUGAUUGGCUUGAGACCGGAAGAGGUCAGUGGAACUGCGAGUGUAGAGGUGAAAUUCGUAGAUAUUCGCAAGAACACCAGUGGCGAAGGCGGCUGACUGGUCCGGUUCUGACGCUGAGGCGGCGAAAAGCGUGGGGAGCAAACAGG
rnacentral:rRNA from 1 species